rnacentral:rRNA from 1 species
UACGUAGGUGGCAAGCGUUGUCCGGAAUUACUGGGUGUAAAGCGCGCGUAGGCGGUAGGCCAAGUCUGCUGUGAAAUCGCCCGGCUCAACUGGGCGCGGUCGGUGGAAACUGGUCAACUGGAGGACGGUAGAGGCGAGUGGAAUUCCCGGUGUAGUGGUGAAAUGCGUAGAGAUCGGGAGGAACACCAGUGGCGAAGGCGGCUCGCUGGGCCGGACCUGACGCUGAGGCGCGAAAGCGUGGGGAGCGAACAGG